rnacentral:misc_RNA from 1 species
AAGUCGUAACAAGGUCUCCGUAGGUGAACCUGCGGAGGGAUCAUUAACACAUACCAUAUGCAUUCGUAUGUGUGUUUCGAAAGAAGCACAUGUACGGGUGUGUAUACUACCAACAACGUGAACGAUGGUGAGGCAUGCUGCUACGCAGCCUGUCUCAUCCCCCUCCCCUACUGUGUGUAGGUAGGGUACAUGCGUGUAUGUAUGUAUACGCAUGUCUCCUCCUCAUGCUUUAGGACCAUUUUUUUACACAAACGAACAAACACAUUAACCCAGUACUAUUACUACACAUUGUACUGCCUGUAUGUGUGUGUGUAUGCUUGCAUACCCCCCCACCUACCUGCAGUGUUUUCUAAUCAAAACAAAUGUACAACUGUUAGCAAUGGAUAUCUUGGUUCUC